rnacentral:rRNA from 1 species
GGCCUAACACAUGCAAGUCGAGCGGACGUAGCAAUACGUCAGCGGCAGACGGGUGAGUAACACGUGGGAACGUACCUUUUGGUUCGGAACAACACAGGGAAACUUGUGCUAAUACCGGAUAAGCCCUUACGGGGAAAGAUUUAUCGCCGAAAGAUCGGCCCGCGUCUGAUUAGCUAGUUGGUGAGGUAAUGGCUCACCAAGGCGACGAUCAGUAGCUGGUCUGAGAGGAUGAUCAGCCACAUUGGGACUGAGACACGGCCCAAACUCCUACGGGAGGCAGCAGUGGGGAAUAUUGGACAAUGGGGGCAACCCUGAUCCAGCCAUGCCGCGUGAGUGAUGAAGGCCCUAGGGUUGUAAAGCUCUUUUGUGCGGGAAGAUAAUGACGGUACCGCAAGAAUAAGCCCCGGCUAACUUCGUGCCAGCAGCCGCGGUAAUACGAAGGGGGCUAGCGUUGCUCGGAAUCACUGGGCGUAAAGGGUGCGUAGGCGGGUCUUUAAGUCAGGGGUGAAAUCCUGGAGCUCAACUCCAGAACUGCCUUUGAUACUGAAGGUCUUGAGUCCGGGAGAGGUGAGUGGAACUGCGAGUGUAGAGGUGAAAUUCGUAGAUAUUCGCAAGAACACCAGUGGCGAAGGCGGCUCACUGGCCCGGUACUGACGCUGAGGCACGAAAGCGUGGGGAGCAAACAGGAUUAGAUACCCUGGUAGUCCACGCCCUAAACGAUGGGUGCUAGUCGUUGGAACAUUAGUUUCGGUGACGCAGCUAACGCGUUAAGCACCCCGCCUGGGGAGUACGGUCGCAAGAUUAAAACUCAAAGGAAUUGACGGGGACCCGCACAAGCGGUGGAGCAUGUGGUUUAAUUCGAGGCUACGCGAAAAACCUUACCAGCUCUUGACAUCCUGAUAGCCGCUUUUGUAAUGAAAGCUUCGGUUCGGCCGGAUCA